UGGGGAAUAUUGGACAAUGGGGGCAACCCUGAUCCAGCAAUGCCGCGUGUGUGAAGAAGGUCUUCGGAUUGUAAAGCACUUUCGACGGGGACGAUGAUGACGGUACCCGUAGAAGAAGCCCCGGCUAACUUCGUG
rnacentral:rRNA from 1 species